AUGAAGUCACCAUCGAUUAUUCAUUUAUCCCAUAGAAGGGAAAGGAAAAUUAUUGAAGAAAAACCUAAGAAGAGAGAAAUCACGAUCUUACGAUCGAGAGAUGGGGUACGGAAGUCGAUUAUGCAAGGGGAAUGUAUUAGCCUCCCUCAUGUCUGUGGUACUCCAUGGAAUCCACUCUUGUUGUUCUAA